rnacentral:rRNA from 1 species
GAUGAACGCUAGCGGCAGGCCUAACACAUGCAAGUCGAACGGUAACAGGAGAGAGCUUGCUCUUUCGCUGACGAGUGGCGCACGGGUGCGUAACGCGUAUACAAUCUACCUUUUACAGGGGGAUAGCCUUUAGAAAUGAAGAAUAAUACCCCAUAGUAUAUAAAUUUCGCAUGUUAUUUAUAUUAAAGAUUUAUCGGUAAAAGAUGAGUAUGCGUUCUAUUAGCUAGAUGGUGUGGUAACGGCACACCAUGGCAACGAUAGAUAGGGGCCCUGAGAGGGGGAUCCCCCACACUGGUACUGAGACACGGACCAGACUCCUACGGGAGGCAGCAGUGAGGAAUAUUGGACAAUGGAGGCAACUCUGAUCCAGCCAUGCCGCGUGCAGGAAGACUGCCCUAUGGGUUGUAAACUGCUUUUAUACAGGAAGAAACCUUUCCACGUGUGGAGAGCUGACGGUACUGUAAGAAUAAGGAUCGGCUAACUCCG